UACGUAGGGUGCGAGCGUUACUCGGAAUUACUGGGCGUAAAGCGUGCGCAGGCGGUCUGUUAAGACCGAUGUGAAAUCCCCGGGCUUAACCUGGGAACUGCAUUGGUGACUGGCAGGCUUUGAGUGUGGCAGAGGGAGGUAGAAUUCCACGUGUAGCAGUGAAAUGCGUAGAGAUGUGGAGGAAUACCGAUGGCGAAGGCAGCCUCCUGGACCAUAACUGACGCUGAUGCACGAAAGCUAGGGGAGCAAACAGG
rnacentral:rRNA from 1 species